rnacentral:rRNA from 1 species
UGAUUAGUAUAAGAGGUACUGCCUGCCCAGUGACACCUGUUUAACGGCCGCGGUAUAAUGACCGUGCAAAGGUAGCAUAAUCACUUGUCUCUUAAAUGGGGACCCGUAUGAAUGGCAAAACGAAAGUCCAACUGUCUCCUCAAACUAAUCAGUGAAAUUGAUAUUUUUGUGCAAAAGCAAAGAUAAUUAUAUAAGACGAGAAGACCCUGUGGAGCUUAAAGCCCAAAUUAAUUAAAGCAAUAUAAUCUUAAGGCUUUCGGUUGGGGCGACCACGGAGAACAACAAAUCCUCCGAGAUAUAUUAUUUAGAAAAACAUUUCAAGAUAACACCAUAGUUGAUAUAAUUGACCCAAUAAUUGAUCAACGGACCAAGUUACCCCAGGGAUAACAGCGCAAUCCUCUCAUAGAGUUCCUAUCGACGAGCGGGUUUACGACCUCGAUGUUGGAUCAGGACCACCAAAUGGUGCAGCAGCUAUUAAAGGUUCGUUUGUUCAACGAUUAAAGUCCU